rnacentral:lncRNA from 1 species
UAAAAAUAAAAAAUGAAUAUAACUUUGUGACAGUUGUUUAACAUCCAUAGGUAAAACAAUCCCCUAUUAAUACAAACCUCUGUUUAUAGACCUUUUUUUCUUGCAGUGAUUCAGAGGUAUAAGAGAAAAAACUCAUAAAGUAAAACUGGUUUACUGCAUCAUAGACACAACUAAAUUUUGUUUGUACUUUCCAAACAUACAAUUUAC